CCAGCUGUGACGUGUUAGGAUCUUGAGUUUGCAGAAGAGCGUGCUCUGAAGACUGAGCCAGGACUGACGAAGGGUCCCAGCCACACCUUGCACCCAGGGCAAGUGGGAGUAACAAGGAAGCUCACAGGUGCUGAAGACCCUCUUCUCCCUUCCCAUAUCUAGACUCAAUGAAGAGGCUCAAUCCGAUGCCUACACAGUCCAGAAGAUCUUAUUUGUUAUGCGAUAUGGGAGGUGGAAGAAGGAGAUCCUGAGCAAGAGUGCAGCGUUCAGUGGAAGCUGGAAACUCCCGGAAGCCAGGUGAUUUGCAGGGAUAUUGGGCACGUGAGUCAAUCACUGUGAUCAGUGUGACAAGAACACCAACAGGCAUCAUUAGGCAGGGUGAAAGGGGAGAGAGGCAGGCACCAGCUCUGCACAGGAGAUGGUACCUGGGCUGGGUCCCAAGGAGUUCUGGAAACCUUGCAUCAGAGUGGGAAGCAUAAGCCACUCCUUCUUGUAAUACCCUUCUCUGUACCUGACCUACCUCCUCAAGAACCAGCUGGGAAGCAUCUCCUCUAGAGCUUGCUGACCCCAAGUGACCUGGUUUUCCUGUGAACUCGGGCAGCUCUGCUCCUCACCAACACAGCUCCUUCCCCCAGCCUUGAUGCACAGACCCUCGGCCCUUACAGCACCUUCCCGAGGGGAGAGGAAUUCAUCGUUAUCCACCCCAUUCGCUCUUAGUACGUGUUUUGCCUACAGUGACUGCUGAAGACGUAUUUAU